AAACUACGGUAAAAUGCCACGUACAAUAGUUCCUCUGUUAGUGGCUAGGGCUACGAGCAGCACCUGUGAACCAAGUUCCCCACCUGCUGGAUGCCGGCUGCAAGGCGAGCACUGAAGCCUCCGGUAACUGUCCAGAGGCUGCUGUAUGUUCUUGAAGAUUCUUGCUUUCACAUGUCCUGGAGUUCUUUUCGACUAUCUGUGCCCCUCUCUGAGGAGGCUUGCUGUUGGAGUUUAACCUGUGCUAAGCUGCCCUCUUAUCAAUUGCAAGGACACCUCAAUGAAAUAACCUCUCUGCACUCCUGACUGGUCUCAGUGACAGAAAUAACUACUCAAUGCACUGAACCAAGCUGUGAAUUCUCUCCAUCAGGAAGCACAAGAUUAGCAGCUUCUGAAUGUGGCAUGCUGGUGACAUCAGUUCCAUUGACUGCUAUCAGAAUAUCCCCAACCUGAAGACCUGCUUCUUCAGCUGCACUAUCUGGAGUAAAAAAGGAAUUUUACUUAGACUUAAUGUACAAAAUAUGAUCAGUUUUCUCUUCUUGUAGCAAAAGAGGUAUCUGUCAGCCAAAUCCAGGUUUUGGGAGCUUUUGUGACUUCAGCUUGGAGAUGGAAAGUGUUUUCCUGAGCAACCUGUUAGUGGUCUGUAAAUGAAACUUCAAGAUUUUGUUGCUCAUUCAGAAACAGAGAAUCACUAGCAGUGAAGAAGCGUCUUUUAAAAAUGACAUUUGGACUUAAAUGCUCUAAGAAGCAAACUGGCAUUUCAAUAUCAGGGUUUUAUUCUAUACAAGAAACAAAGAGAUCUCGUGCAAUGUUCUGUAAAAUCAGUAGAAAAAGCAUCCCUUAUUCUGGUGAGCUUUGGAUUUAAGACCAAAAGAUGACCUAAACUUUUUUUUUGUGCUGAUGUUUCUUUUGAUGUUUAACAAUUUGGCCAUAAUAUUUUGUUGGUUUUAUCUUUAAUGGGAAAUAAGAUAGAAAGUCAGAUAAGGGCCAGUGAAGGAGGGACUGAAACAGAUUUGUUAAUACAUCAUCCUUUUGUGUAUUGGCUAAAAUGGUCCAUUUACAAGAACUAGUAUAUAGUUAUCUAGAUUCCAUCUACAUAUUCCUCGGACUUUUUUUUUCUUCUGACCUAUAAUGAAGCAUUCCUAACGUACUGUGAAAAAGAAGUUUUUUUAUUUUUUUGAAACUAAUGUUCCACAUCUAUAUUACUUAAAGUAAUUUCUAUGUACUUUUCUGUCAUGUCAAAAUGUGUUUGUUCAGAGUGUUUCUGAGAAUGCUUAGAAAUUGUAUGGAAAAGGUUAAUAAAAGCUUAAUAAUGAAUAGUUGGCACAAAAAA